rnacentral:misc_RNA from 1 species
GCCGCAUCGGUCUCGCCGGCCACCAGGUGCGCGCGAUAGGCAUCGCUGACCGCCGUGAUCUCGGCCAGCGCCUCGUGUUCGUCCGCGUGCCGAAGGAUGAAAAAGGCGACCGGCUCGAUCAGGGUCAGCGAGCGGAUCGUUACUCGGCGCGACAGCGCCAGAUGCAAGGCCACGACGCCGCCGAAGGAAUGACCGACGACAUGCACGCCGGCCGUUUCAUUUCGUAACAGCGGCUCGAUCAACCGCAAUUCUUCGGCCGGUGAAAAGUCUCGCCCCUCUGGCCACGGAUCGGUGCGCCCGUAGCCAAUCAGAUCGGGCGCGAGCACGCGAAACCGUGACUUGA